rnacentral:rRNA from 1 species
AUUGAACGCUGGCGGCAGGCCUAACACAUGCAAGUCGAACGGUAACAGGAAGCAGCUUGCUGCUUUGCUGACGAGUGGCGGACGGGUGAGUAAUGUCUGGGAAACUGCCUGAUGGAGGGGGAUAACUACUGGAAACGGUAGCUAAUACCACAUAACGUCGCAAGACCAAAGAGGGGGACCUUCGGGCCUCUUGCCAUCGGAUGUGCCCAGAUGGGAUUAGCUAGUAGGUGGGGUAACGGCUCACCUAGGCGACGAUCCCUAGCUGGUCUGAGAGGAUGACCAGCCACACUGGAACUGAGACACGGUCCAGACUCCUACGGGAGGCAGCAGUGGGGAAUAUUGCACAAUGGGCGCAAGCCUGAUGCAGCCAUGCCGCGUGUAUGAAGAAGGCCUUCGGGUUGUAAAGUACUUUUCAGCGGGGAGGAAGGCGAUAAGGUUAAUAACCUUGUCGAUUGACGUUACCCGCAGAAGAAGCACCGCUAACUCC